GGCUUUUUUUUUUUUUUUUCAGCACUGGGGGGGAAAAAAGUUAAAUGAAAUGAGAGGCGCAUGUAAAAAUCUCCACACCCAAAGAUGGGGGCCACAUUUUUAUUGCUUGGCCUUGGACAGGCAACGAUGUCUUUUUUUAAGCAGUGAACUUGCCACACCGGCGCUAGCUCUCACACACUAGCACAUUUGCUUGCACAAACCACACAAACUUUAAGCUUAAGAAGCUUCCCAGGUGGUGGUUGGAGAAAUUUGGGAAGGAGAGAAAAAAAGUAUUCGAAACAAAGUAGAGGUAGAAACACACGAUUAAUAGAAACUAGUUUUAUUUUCUUAUUUUUUCUUUUUCUGUCUUUUUUUUUUUCCCGUUGCUUUCUUUAAACAGCAGCUAGCUUGAUUUUGAUAGCUGGUUUUGGCAAAAGGAAAGAAAAAAAAAUCUACAGCCCGAAAGGAAGACUCAAAGUGUUUAAAGGACGCUUAGAAUGUAGCGUUGUGGCAGGUUGGGAGCUGACGUCACUGAGAUCAGGCAGAUGGAGGGGAGUCCCCGUGCGGAGAUCCUGAGAGGGCAAGAGACGACAGGAGUCUAGCAUAACUGUCAUCUAAGAGGCUCUACCCAGCGACUGAUACAAACAGAUGCAGAGACACACAGCCAAACAUUAAGUGGAGCUUGUGGAAUUCUGUGGAAGAGGGGGAAGAAGGAUUGAAGGAGUCAGAGGGGUCAAGGACACCACAAGAAAACCUAUAAAAUCAACUAACAUGGACCCAUAGGGGUCCACACAGACCAAACUGCCAAAAAAAAAAAAAAAAAAGCAUGCAUAGAAUGGAUCUAGGCCCUCUGCAUAUAUGUAACAGAUGUGGGACUCCUAACAGUGGGCACCAUCUCUGACUCUGUUGCCUGCCUCUGGAUCCCUUUCCCCUACCUGGGCUGCCUUGUGUAGCCCGAUAGAAGAUGGGCCUAGUCCUGCAACUUGAUAUGCCAAGACUGAUUGAUAUCCAUGGGAGGUCUCCCUUUUUCUGAGGAGAAGGGGAGACAGUGUGGAUGGGGCGUGGGGGGGGGGGAGAAGGGAAGUUAAGAGGGAGGGACCAGGAGGAGAAAAGGUGGGGGAUAGCUAUGACAGGGUGUAAAAUAAUUAAAUAACUUAAUUAAUAAUAAAAAAGCUUGCUCAUUGAAUAUAUAUAUAUAUAUAUAUAUAUUGCUGACAUUUUAUUGUGAUUAAUUUGGAUUAUAUAGGAAGAGAAGCAAAAAAACUGAGUAAUAAGGGACUAUAAUAAAGGUUUAACCAGGAGUUUAAAAUUGAAAACAAAGCAAAACAAAAACAAAAAACAAAAACAAAAAAAACAAAACAAAACAAAACAGAAGCACAGCCCUAUUAGAAGUCCAUCACUGAAGACAGGCUUUGAGCAGUCAAAGUCUCAUUCACCUUCCAGUGUGCCUGAGGUUGAGGGUGUGUUUUCUCAGCUUCCUGUUCCUGCCAUCAUGUCUGCUAGUUGUCCUAAUGCCUUCCUGCCAUGCUGGACUCUUGUUCCCCUGGAACCCUAAACUGAAGCCAACUCUUCUAGAAGCUCCUUUUGAUUAUGGUGUUUCAUUGCAGCAACACAAGGAACUAAUACGACUAGGGUGUAGGAUCUCAGGAUUAUAUUACUACUGAUGUUCUUCCUUAACAUACUUUUAAAGUGCAUGCGGCAUCCAUCUAUGGUUAAUUAAAACAACAACAACAACAACAACGAAAACAUGUACACCAAGUUACAGUCAAUUUCCAAGAUGGGGAAGAUUAGGUUUGGCACUACACACUGCACUUGAUUUUAUUAAAAUAGUGAUGAGAUCAGGGUAUAUGUUCCAUCAGUAAAGGGCUUGCUGCACAAACAAGACCCAAGGUCAGAUCCCUAGCAAUUUUUCAUAUUUGGAUCAUGACUUCUGUCUUACAGUGAUUUUUAAAUACAACCCCAUAUAAAUCCUGUUCUGCUAUUUGAUACCACUUGUAUAACUACCUUUUGUGGAAAAAAAGAACUUUCCCCAUAGUCUUACAAAAUAUUGACUAGUAGAGAAUGGAAACAAACUUGCCAAAUGUCAUUUCAUUCUGUGACUCUUUCAGAAAUCAUUGCAUCAUUCCCAUUUAAAAAAAUAAAAAAAACCUCUGCUUAUAAAGAAGGCACAAAGAUUAUUAUUUCAAUCUUACAUAGGUUAGUGAUCCAUUUAAUAUUUAAAAAGCUAAUGUUUCAUAUUUUGAUAUGCUACAUAUUAGUUUGUGUCCAAGUGUCUGUAUUAGCAGCAGGAACUCUGAAGCUUCUUAUUUUAAUUAAGAAAAUAUUUUCAAUAUUGUUCUACAGUUUAUAUAAACAGUGAGAAAUAUUUUGCACUUUAAAAAUGUGGGUUAAAACAAAACUAGGUAAUGUUUCUUUUAUUUGAGCCAAGAAAAAUAGUACCACGAAUCCUUUUCUCAUAUUGCUGUGUGGAAAUAGUUUUCCACCUAAAACCCCUGGCUCUCUCUUUUUCUUAUAAAAUGUAUGCAUGCAAAGAUGCUAGUGUGAGAUACGUUUCCAGGCACAUUUAUUCUAAUGGUGAAGCUGGCUUAUUUUGUGACACAUUUUAUAUUUCCAUGACAAACCGAAUGCUUUUUGUCCACCAGUGAUGUAGAAUAAUUAAUCAGAGCCAUCCUGGGAGGAGGACCCAUCCCAUUCUGUGUUGGUUUGUAAAACAUCCCUGGGUGAGAGGCCUCUCAGCAGGCUCACUCACGUUACCUGUAAUUUUUCACAUGUGUAUAGUUCAUCACUAGUGACACUCUGGCUUUCAGAUCAGUCAUCUCUUAGAACUUAAAAUUGAUAUAUCAGUCUCAGCAUAAAAUGCUAUCAUUCCCGUGGACCAACUGUUUACCGGAGUAUAACUCCUCCUGUGUCUCAUUUCAUCACACUGUUCCACACAGUGAUGUUUCAAUGUGAAAUGAAGUUUUUUCAUGCUGUGCCCCUGAGUAGAAAAAAGACAGAAGUACAUGUAUGAUAAAUGGUGAAGAUUCCGUGAUAACCCUUGGAAAACAAUAUAGUGUAGAAGCAUUCUGUAUUAUAUUUGCUUUAAUAAUUUAAGGCAUAAAUGUGGCUUUUAAACUUUUAUAACAAAUACGAUUUAUGCAGCAGUGAGAAAUGAUCAAUUAUAUUUUCUGUGAAUCACUUCAUCUUCCAUCUUAUACAGAAAUUAACAGCACGCUACUGCUGUUGAAUUGCCAUGGUGGAAUAUUUGUGUAGGCUACGCUAUUAGUAAAAUGUAAAAUCACCAUCAUGUUGUUCAACUCUAUGUCUUUAAUUACAGUUUUGCAAGAGAAAGGAUUUACUUUAAAUUUUUAUUAAGUCUAUUCACUUUGUCUAUGUGGGGCUGGGGACCGAAUUCUGGCUUUUAAUAGCAACAACAGAAUUUAGGAAAAACAUCUUGUUGAAUUCCCUUAUGCCUGAAAGACACUGUCGUGUUUGCAUUCUUUCUUGGCACAAAGUGCAUUUUCUUUGUGGCUCUGAGUGUCGCCUGGCUGUGGCAUCGGCAUCCCACUGAUUAUUACGAGGGCUGAUUCAACGGCUUUGGCUCACUGGGCUGGGUUCUGUAGACUUCCUUCACAACCCUAAAAGCUGUGCAUUGGCAGAAGAUGAUGACAUCCCUGGGGAGACUAGAACCACUUAAUUUUUGUCAAAAUGGAAAUGAGUUUUUCCUUUUAGCACAUCUUGAUUUGAUCUGAUAGGUUAUUUUAAAAAUGGAAGGCAAGAUUGUUUCACCAAAAAUGGAUGCAAACAAUGUUUUAAAUUUGAUAUGGCAUUGCAAAUACUCAACGUUUUCCAGAGAGAACAUUUUUUAGUUUACAUUUGAAAUUCUUACCUUUUUAUUUUCACUAUUGUACUGUGUAUGCUUUAGAUUAUUUCACUGUGUGCUUUUGAGAUGAUGUCUAAGCACUAAGCCACAGCCACAAGAUAUAUGAUGAGUUGUUUAACUAAAGGUAGAGUGAUUACAAAGAAUUCUGAAGGUUGAAACAUACUUUAUAGUAUGAGUUUUGAAAAUAGAUUAACUAACAGGUGAUUAUUUCCAUCCUGUUGAAAGUAUAAGAAAUUCAGUAAUGACUAAAUGACUUGCUGGCGCCUCUUCAUUGUGCCUGUGCAUGUGUUGGAUAUGCACAAUCAUGUAAAAGAAAAUAGUUCAAAACUGUGAGCAUAACAGACAUUUUCAUUUGGAGACUAAAAUUCUGUUGUGUCUACAUUUGUUCAGCAGGUGAGAUAUUUUGGUAAUACUACUAUGGCAUACUGAAAUAUUGCUAGAAAACUAAAAGUAAUCUGCUUUUAUGCUUUGUAUUAGCUUAAGGAUCUAUUACCCAAAUAAAAUAAAUUUGGUGUUAUGUUUUCAUGUUUAAUUAGCCUUGGGAAGAAGGUAUGUUCAAUAAAAAUAUAUCAGGAAUUAUACUCAUCCCUUUGUGUACUUGUAUUAUUUUAGGAGAAAUUUCAACAGCAGCCUUAUUUUCAAAGCUCAGUUCAAGUUGACUUUUCAUUACUUGAAUAAUAGUGUUCUUAUGUGUAUAGUAAGAUGUGUAGUUUUCCUCAGUUUCACAAUCCUCCCUGCUACCAAUAGCCCACUUCAAGUGGGACAUUUAUUACAAAUGAUUAACCCAGUAUUUUGUAUUCUGUAACAGUAUUUUAUAUUCUGAAAUAUGGAUUUCAUUAUCUAGCUAUUGUUUUAGGAAGCUUUCAAAUGCUUACUUAAAGGAGUUUCACAGUUAUUCUAGAAGUUUAGGUGGAUGGGUUGGUCCUCCAGUUCUAACAAGUAUGGAGCCUGAGGCUAGAGGUUAUCUUGAGCGUAGGGUUUCAAGACCACUUUGUAAAACAGAAAACAGACAUCUCAAAAGGGGAAAAGAGAACAUGAACGUGGACUAGAGUCCUUUUCCAUGUUAAUCUGGUGAAGAAGAGUUAGAAUAACAAAACCAGAUUAUAUUUCAAAAGAGAAGUUGGGGAGCUUUGGUAGUUCACAAAGAUAGCAACUGAACAGUUAAAAAUUGUGGAGAAAAGGUCAGUGCUGCACACACAAGAAGGAAGCCAAGCUGAACACAGCUCCAGCCAUGCGGAGCCAUGGGAGGGGAGGACAGAGCAGGAUUCUAAUAUGAAAGGUAAGGCAGGCAGCCCCAAGACUGGCACUCGUACCCUCAGAGCAAGCCAAUAGCCUUCAGAAGCCUCAAAGUCAGUGUCACAUUGUGACGAUACAGUGAUUUCACUGGCAUAUGGGUUAGCAAUGGAGAGGAAUCCCAUAUUGUCACUCAGUGUGAGCCAGAGAACAGUGGCUGAGUGCCAUCUUCAGAGGAAAUCUAUUGUUUCAAACUGAGCUACUCUGGGGUGGGGGCUUAAAAACGGGAAACACAAGUUAAAAAGGGCUUGAAUUUAAAUUGCCAUAGACACAGAGUGAGACACUCCCCCAGAAGACAGUUAUGGGGGGUGAAGGGUGAAUUCAGAUAAGCUGGGUAAUAAGGUGACAGAAAGCUCAUCUCAGAUGCUGAGAUUCCCAGGGAAAAAUGACUAGGUGUCUGGGAGCCAAGUUCACCAGUUGAGAAUAGCUCUGAAUGGCCAGUGGGCCCAUUAACCUCUGGAAUGCUCUGCUUGUGAUGAGGUUCACUGUUGCAUAGUCUAAAAAUGCUGAAGUUUCUUGGUAUCCAUGAUUGCACCUGUCCAGCAGAGUGGGCAGUGGCUCUCUUUCUUGUGUACUCUUUAAGGUUGUGAUUGCUUCCCUGACUUCUAACACACUUGUGAGAUAUCCCGUAUUCCAAGUCCACAUGGCUCCUGAACUAGUGAAUUGAAAAAAAAAAAAAAGGAAAUAACUAAAAGACUAGAUGAUGCUUUACACACUAGUAAAAAUGAUCACCAACAAGGAUACAAACAGGCAAAUAAGAGCCCAAGGAGAUGGCUUGGUUGAAGUGCCUGGAACAUGGGUGGAGAAUCUGAGUUCAGAUCCCCAGGAUCUGUACAAAAUCAGGGCAUGAUUCCCUUCCUCUAACUAUAGCAGUAGUGAGUUGGAGACAGAAGUAUGCCCAGAGCAAACUGGUUAUCCAUUCAAAAUGAGCUCUGGGAUAAGAGAUCCUCUUUCAAAAGACAAGGCAGAGGAUGAUAUUGGUAUUCCUCAGAUACAUGCACACAUACUGACACAUCUUCAGGCACACAUGAGCUCACACAUACUAUACCCCUACCCAUCACACAAACAUAUACAGACAUUUUCUUUUAAAGCAAGGUAAAUUCAGGGCCAACAAGAUGGCUUAGUGGGUAAGGGUGUCUGUCAAGUUUGAUGACCUGAGUUCAAUACCCAAGACACAUAUGAUGGAAGGAGAGAACUGACUCCUUAAAGUUGUCCUCUGAUCCCUUAAACAUGUGCUCUGGCAUGCACAUGCCCACACCCAUAUGCAAUAAAUGAAUAAAUUUAGGAAAAAGGAUAAUUCAAUUCAGGACACUGAGUUGAAAGUCAGCAACAUCAAAGAAAAA